CUCUUAUCCCAGGGUGCUUCUUUCAGGAAAUGCUUUCCAGCAGCGUAGCCAGACUGGUAAAUGAGACAUGUGUGUCCUAGCAGUGGGACCAGGUUUCCCUGUGGUCCUGAAGAGGACAAGGGACACUCAGCAGCUCCCAGCCGUCCUGGCCUCUUCUCUGGUUUCCCGGGGAGCUGCACGCACACGGGCAUUGAUCACAACGACCUGCGAAGCUGGGGGCUUUCUGUGGCUUUAGAGAGAGGCCGGGAAGAGCAGAGUGCCGACAGCUCUGCCCAUCGCUGUGCUCGCCUUUGGCCCGUGCUUGUCCUUCCUCCAGCCACAGCAGCUGCUCGGAGGCCAGAACUGAUGGUUUUCUCCAGAGCUGAAG